AGUGGCUUAGUGGGUAAAACNCCUGCCUACCAUGCAGGAAGCCCUGGGUUCCAUCCCUAGCACUA
rnacentral:tRNA from 1 species